GCAGUGCAUCACCGCAGGCGGGCCUCGCGGGUCCGGGAGCGCGGCGGAGACGAUGCCUGAGAUCAGAGUCACGCCCUUGGGGGCCGGCCAGGACGUGGGCCGAAGCUGCAUCCUGGUCUCCAUUGCGGGCAAGAAUGUCAUGCUGGACUGUGGAAUGCACAUGGGCUUCAAUGACGACCCAGGGGUCCUGGUGCCACCUGCGGGAUGGGAGUGCCCAGCCUGAGUCUGCACAUAGAACCCCCCUUCCUGGGGGCCCCUCCCUGGGGCAUGGGUGGCCCCAGAUGCUGCCUGGAGACCACUGUGCAACCUGAAACCCCCACAUCCUUCCUAGCGACGCUUCCCUGACUUCUCCUACAUCACCCAGAACGGCCGCCUAACAGACUUCCUGGACUGUGUGAUCAUUAGCCACUUCCACCUGGACCACUGCGGGGCACUCCCCUACUUCAGCGAGAUGGUGGGCUACGACGGGCCCAUCUACAUGACUCACCCCACCCAGGCCAUCUGCCCCAUCUUGCUGGAGGACUACCGCAAGAUCGCCGUAGACAAGAA
rnacentral:lncRNA from 1 species